rnacentral:rRNA from 1 species
UACGUAGGGGGCAAGCGUUGUCCGGAUUUACUGGGUGUAAAGGGUGCUCAGGUGGUUGCGCAAGUCAGAGGUGAAAUCCUAGAGCUUAACUCUGGAACUGCCUUUGAUACUGCGCGGCUUGUGUACGGAAGAGGCUGAUGGAAUUCCUGGUGUAGCAGUGAAAUGCGUAGAUAUCAGGAAGAACACCAGUGGCGAAGGCGGUCAGCUGGUCCGUUACAGACACUAAAGCACGAAAGCGUGGGGAGCAAACAGG